rnacentral:rRNA from 1 species
CGCACGGGUGAGUAACACGUAUGGAACCUGCCCUAUGCAGGGGGAUAAGCGGAAGAAAUUCCGUCUAAUACCGCAUAACACCUUUAGGAGACAUCUUCUUGGGGUCAAAGGAGGCGACUCCGGCAUAGGAUGGCCAUGCGUCGCAUUAGCUAGUCGGCGGGGUAACGGCCCACCGAGGCGACGAUGCGUAGGGGUUCUGAGAGGAAGGUCCCCCACACUGGUACUGAGACACGGACCAGACUCCUACGGGAGGCAGCAG